UCGGGAAUUUUGGGCAAUGGGCGAAAGCCUGACCCAGCAACGCCGCGUGAAGGAUGAAGUAUUUCGGUAUGUAAACUUCGAAAGAAUAGGAAGAAUAAAUGACGGUACUAUUUAUAAGGUCCGGCUAACUACGUGCCAGCAGCCGCGGUAAUACGUAGGGACCAAGCGUUGUUCGGAUUUACUGGGCGUAAAGGGCGCGUAGGCGGCAAUUCAGGUCAUCUGUGAAAUCUCCGGGCUUAACUCGGAACGGUCAGAUGAUACUGCUUUGCUAGAGUGCAGAAGGGGCAAUCGGAAUUCUUGGUGUAGCGGUGAAAUGCGUAGAUAUCAAGAGGAACACCUGAGGUGAAGACGGGUUGCUGGGCUGACACUGACGCUGAGGCGCGAAAGCCAGGGGAGCAAACGGGAUUAGAUACCCGGGUAGUCCCUGAGCGGGCUGGCAAGGCGCAU
rnacentral:rRNA from 1 species